rnacentral:rRNA from 1 species
CCUACGGGAGGCUGCAGUGGGGAAUAUUGCGCAAUGGGGGAAACCCUGACGCAGCGACGCCGCGUGAGCGAAGAAGGCCUUAGGGUCGUAAAGCUCUGUUUUAAGGGACGAAGAGCUACCUGGUGAAUAAUCGGGUAGAGUGACGGUACCUUAAGAGAAAGCCCCGGCUAACUACGUGCCAGCAGCCGCGGUAAGACGUAGGGGGCGAGCGUUGUCCGGAAUUACUGGGCGUAAAGAGCACGUAGGCGGAUAUUUAAGUCAGGUGUGAAAGACCGCAGCUCAACUGCGGGGUUGCACUUGAAACUGGAUAUCUUGAGGGCAGGAGAGGUCAGUAGAAUUCCUGGUGUAGCGGUGAAAUGCGUAGAAAUCAGGAGGAAUACCAGUGGCGAAGGCGGCUGACUGGACUGACCCUGACGCUGAGGUGCGAAAGCGUGGGGAGCAAACAGGAUUAGAUACCCCUGUAGUC